UAAAAUUAUUAAUCAAUUUUUCUUCUACGUUUAAAAUCGUAAAUAGAAUUUCUUACCAUUUAUACGUGUAUAUAAAUGCAGAUGAAAUAGAUUUGAAUAAUAUAUUAUAUAACAUGUUCUUUACUGCGGAAAAUUCAAAAAAUAAUGAAGUGAAUCAAGGAAUAUUAGCCCCGAAAUUUGCCAAUAUUAAGGAUUAAAACAAAAUUAUACCAACCCUUAAUGUAUCCUUAAUUAGACUUCAUCAAUUGACCCUUGGCGAGCUUUCAAAAUGCCAUAACGGAAGUUCUAUACGAUGGUUUAAAUCCAAUAAUACAAGUAGUACAUUCAAGAAUAUUUUAAAACUAUUAAUUAUUUUAGUUGCACUGUUAAAAAUAUGCAAUUUAAAGUUAUUAAUCAAUUUUUUUUCUACGUUUAAAAUCGUAAAUAGAAUUUCUUACCAUUUAUACGUGUAUAUAAAUGCAGAUGAAAUAGAUUUGAAUAAUAUAUUAUAUAACAUGUUCUUUACUGCGGAAAAUUCAAAAAAUAAUGAAGUGAAUCAAGGAAUAUUAGCCCCGAAAUUUGCCAAUAUUAAGGAUUAAAACAAAAUUAUACCAACCCUUAAUGUAUCCUUAAUUAGACUUCAUCAAUUGACCCUUGGCGAGCUUUCAAAAUGCCAUAACGGAAGUUCUAUACGAUGGUUUAAAUCCAAUAAUACAAGUAGUACAUUCAAGAAUAUUUUAAAACUAUUAAUUAUUUUAGUUGCACUGUUAAAAAUAUGCAAUUUAAAGUUAUUAAUCAAUUUUUUUUCUACGUUUAAAAUCGUAAAUAGAAUUUCUUACCAUUUAUACGUGUAUAUAAAUGCAGAUGAAAUAGAUUUGAAUAAUAUAUUAUAUAAUAUAUAACAUGUUCUUUACUGCGGAAAAUUCAAAAAAUAAUGAAGUGAAUCAAGGAAUAUUAGCCCCGAAAUUUGCCAAUAUUAAAGAUUACAACAAAAUUAUACCAACCCUUAAUGUAUCCUUAAUUAGACUUCAUCAAUUGACCCUUGGCGAGCUUUCAAAAUGCCAUAACGGAAGUUCUAUACGAUGGUUUAAAUCCAAUAAUACAAGUAGUACAUUCAAGAAUAUUUUAAAACUAUUAAUUCUUUUAGUUGCACUGUUAAAAAUAUGCAAUUUAAAAUUAUUAAUCAAUUUUUCUUCUACGUUUAAAAUCGUAAAUAGAAUUUCUUACCAUUUAUACGUGUAUAUAAAUGCAGAUGAAAUAGAUUUGAAUAAUAUAUUAUAUAACAUGUUCUUUACUGCGGAAAAUUCAAAAAAUAAUGAAGUGAAUCAAGGAAUAUUAGCCCCGAAAUUUGCCAAUAUUAAGGAUUAAAACAAAAUUAUACCAACCCUUAAUGUAUCCUUAAUUAGACUUCAUCAAUUGACCCUUGGCGAGCUUUCAAAAUGCCAUAACGGAAGUUCUAUACGAUGGUUUAAAUCCAAUAAUACAAGUAGUACAUUCAAGAAUAUUUUAAAACUAUUAAUUCUUUUAGUUGCACUGUUAAAAAUAUGCAAUUUAAAGUUAUUAAUCAAUUUUUCUACGUAUAUAUACAGUGGCGUAUUUACAGAGAAAAAAAAACCGAUACAUAUCCUUGCAGUAUAGUAUAGUAAUAAGUAUAGAAAUUGGUAUUCUAUGUAUUCUGACGACGGUCUCCAAGUUACAGUUAAAUAUAAUGUAAUGUGUGAUAAAGCCAUAAAGGCAAUAGGUAAU